rnacentral:lncRNA from 1 species
ACAGCCUUUUGAUGUCUUCUAAUAGCCUUGAAUUAAUGAGGUGAUGGUUGAGCUAAAAUGGCUGAAUAGAAUUGUUUAGAUUGGCCUAAAUUCAUCCAACUUGUGUGAAAGCCCUUAUGGUUGCUUGGGGAACUCAAAGGCCAACUUGGGGAAAAGAAUGGAAUGGGCGGCACUUUAAAAGUAUUGGAAAACCCGAGGAAGGCAUUUACAGCAGC